UAGAAUCCACAACAUAUUCAG
rnacentral:misc_RNA from 1 species